rnacentral:tmRNA from 1 species
GGGGUUGACUGGAUUUGACAGCGGGCAGAAAGUAUAUGUAAGCAUGCAGUGCGUCGUCGAUUUGCACUUAAAUCUCAGUCUUCAAAAUUUUAUCUGGCGAAAAUAAUUACGCUCUUGCUGCGUGAUCGAAGUUUAGUAGAUCGUGCUUAAUCCCGACACUAGGUGUUGGGACGGGACAUCACUCGGAAGCUGUUGCUCCGAAGCAUUCCGGUUCAGUGGUGCAGUUACAUCGGGGAUAGUCUACACUUGCCUUGAAGUGCAGAUGAAAAAUUAAGGGAUAAGGUAGCGGUUGAUGGCUUUGGUUCUGCCGUUACUCGAAAAUUUAGGCAAAGAUAAGCAUGUAGAAAGCUUAUGGUUUCCUCGUUUGGACGAGGGUUCGAUUCCCUCCAGCUCCACU